CGCAGAGGGCUAGAGCUGAGGCAGCGGCUGUUGCAGGUCGGGAGGGGGGAGAAGGCACAUGUGCUUUGCAGCCUUCCCCUCCCCUCCCCUCCCCCCAGCACUCACCUGGAGGAGACGCUGCCGAGGGGGCAUUCAAUCGGUGGGAGACAGGAAUCUCUGCAGUGUGGACCUCACUCACCUGACAGCUGCUGGGGCUUGACCCCGUGAUUCCCCCUAGGCGGCUUUUUGAAAUAUGAAGAAAUGUCCAGGUCCGGGAUUUUUCCUUGCUCAUUGCGGCAGAGGAAGAUCCACCUCGACACCGUGGCUGGUCCCUCCCCUGAAUCUGCAGCUGCCGGAUCCUGCCCAGCCCAGCCCGGCCUGCCAGAAUGUAACCCUACAGGUAAUAUGGAUACCAAGCUGGAAGAAUCCUGAUCUAAGCUGGCCGCAGCCUGGAGCCGGAAAUACCCCUCGACGGGCGAACGUGGGAGCCAGCAUGGAAGCGGGUUCAACCAGCGCUUUUCAACGUGUCUUUCCAGUCCAUAACGUGGGUAGUGCACCCCAGAGAUGGUGGGUGGACCGGGCACACCCCAACUGCAGCACAUACAUAGAAGGGUUGAAUCAACUAUUUAAUUGGUGGGUGAGGAGACACAUGGAAUUGUCACUGAAAAGGGGUUUGUGGGCAGCAGGAAACAGGGCUGGGUGUAUGAAAUCUGGGGGACUGUUGAGUAACUGAUAAGCCAGAAUGUAAAAUUGCAGCAGCAAAUCAAUGAGCUACUGGCCCAGCAACUGUCUGCAAUCGCAAUGGGAUGGAAAAGGGCCACAAAAGUGAACCUGUGGCUAACUCAAUGGACAGGAGACCUCGUGACAUAGGAGGGCAUUGGCUUCAAAAGGCGAACUUGGGAGGGGGAAGUGUGCAUGGGGAUACAAAACGCUCAACUCUGGGGCUAGCUCCUGUGUAGUAGUUAGUGUGGUGCCUUGGAACAGGACGGCUACUAAGGGGGUCCCCAUGAGCCCUAUGGGAAUAAUGAGAAAGGGAGGAGCUCGCUGGGACCCACAGGGAGAUAGAUGGGGAGGAUGGAAUGGUGUCAAAUGGACAAUAAUUCAGUUAAGUAAUUGUCCAGAGAAAAUAUCUGAAUGUGUCCCCCCUCAAUGGUCACAGAGGGGCAGAAUUAAUGGCCUGUUGCAAAUGGGGGCCAUUAGGGGUGAUAUAUAUGGGGCAUGGGAUGUUUGCUGGGAAUGUGUCGUACUUAAAGUACUGCACAGGAUCUUUUCAGGGGGAAUAAGGCAAAACGCCACAUUUAUUAGUGAUACAUGUAUUUAUUAACACUGUAUUAUAUGCAUAUAAUAUAUUACACUUACACUCACACACACACACAAACACACUCCGUCUUGUUGUUACCAAUUAGUUGCUCCCCUUAACUUCACUGGCCAGGUGAGUUAGAUGGGGGAGGGGGUGGAGCCGGGCUUCUGCCGAUCCGGAUCGAUGCUCCCAUGUUGACAAGACGAGACCCGGGGUCCUCUGCAAGACCUCACUUUUAUAGCAGCUUCCCUCUUAUGCAAAUCUAAACCAGAUUCAAACUCUGUGUCUGUGUCUAUUGGUCUUUCGUGCUGCUUUCUUUUGAGUGUUGUCCCAAUGCUGCAAAGAGGGUGUUUCCAAAAGAAGGUGCUUGCUUCUAACCCCCGAGGCCGUCCGUAUGUCUGCUUGUCUUUAAUGAGCCCACUUGACACGUUUUAUUGUCCUUGGGUCUGGCUUCCAGCCCCUCUCCAACAGUUGAGGCUGUCUGGAGGUGCUGCCUUCCAUGCCUUGCUCAUCCACACCUCAUUCAUUCAACAGGGCAAUUGAUUAAGAGUGGGGGGGGGGGGAAGAGCUCUUGUUCUACUGCUAGCAAACAGAAAUUUUUCUUCUAUCUUAUUUUAUCCUUAGGGGCUAUAAUAUUAUACCAAGGGCAAUGCAAAGUUUCUAAAUGAGGCUUUGAUACAAAGUCCCAUGAAAACAGAGGUCACAUGUGGGUAGACCCACCACAAGGUUAUAUGAAGAGGCACAAUGUAAAGUCAUAUGAAAAUUAUUAGAGAUUGAUCUACAAAUGUACACAACACUUGGGGACACAAUUGCACCAGCAUUGCACAGUUACACACAUCUACACACUGCCAUCAGGACUACGGUGCACGAAUGGAUCUGUGGAACCCAUUGCUGUGCACAAUCGAACCAGCACCUCUUACCCCAUCCCAUACCAAAUAGUCGAACUGGUGCGGACAGCACUGAAUUUCAUUGUGGAUAUUCAAUGGACACCCAACAUGGACCAGAGUACACAAAGAUUGCAGGAGCAACUCACCGCGACCACCAAUAGUUGGACACACUUACAAUACACACGUCAGGAUGGCGUUGACAGAAUUUUAACCCUGUCGAAGGAGGAGAAGCAGUGGUUUUGGUGGUGGUCGGGAUGUUGGACUAUACUACAGUGGUCAGGACUCUCGGUGUUGCUGUGGAUUAUCAUGGUGGCUGGUGUAUUGUUAAGUAUACUUGUGCUUUGUUGCAUAUGGAACAGUCAAGAGGGGCACAACCCUCUAAAGAACGGCCACUAAUUAUAACCUAUAAGUGAUGUAAUAGGCCCUUCCCCCUCGUGUACUAGACAACCCAGACCCAACCUUCUCAGGCCCACUAUAAUGGGAAGUCUGGAACACUAAAUUGGAAUAGGUGUGUGUGAUCGGCGUUGGCCCACCCACCCGCUAGGGGGCGGUGGGGAGCUAUGAGGUCACUGGCCGGCCUGGGUCACGCCCCCGUCAGCGGGGAAUUAGCGGCGGGGCGGCCGCCAGCCAGAGUCUGUAGCGCGCCCCUCAGGCAGGGGAGCGCCGGCUAAGGUCAGUAGCGCGCCCCUCAGGCAGGGGA